AGCGAACGCUGGCGGCAGGCCUAACACAUGCAAGUCGAACGAACCUUUCGGGGUUAGUGGCGGACGGGUGAGUAACACGUGGGAACGUGCCUUUAGGUUCGGAAUAACUCAGGGAAACUUGUGCUAAUACCGAAUGUGCCCUUCGGGGGAAAGAUUAAUCGCCUUUAGAGCGGCCCGCGUCUGAUUAGCUAGUUGGUUGAGGUAAUGGCUCACCAAGGCGACGAUCAGUAGCUGGUCUGAGAGGAUGAUCAGCCACAUUGGUACUGAGACACGGCCCAAACUCCUACGGGAAGCAGCAGUGGGGAAUCUUGCGAAAUGGGCGAAAGCCUGACGCAGCCAUGCCGCGUGAAUGAUGAAGGUCUUAGGAUUGUAAAAUUCUUUCACCGGGGACGAUAAUGACGGUACCCGGAGAAGAAGCCCCGGCUAACUUCGUG
rnacentral:rRNA from 1 species